rnacentral:lncRNA from 1 species
CGUUCAUCACUGUUCAUCAAGAUCAAGCCCAAAAGCCCCUUGAAGAUCCGUUCAUCAACAGUUCUUCAAGAACAAGCCCAAAACCCCUUGAAGAUCCGCUCAACCGUUCUUCAAAAUCAAGGUCAAAAGCCCUUGAAGAAACGCUCAUCCUCAAGAUCAAGCCCUAACGGCUCCUUGAAGAUCCGCUCAAAUCCACCUUCAAGAUCAAGCCCACGGCCCUUGAAGAACGUUCAUCCUUAGAUCAAGCCUAACGACCCUUUGGAUCGAAUCAGAGGAUCAAAUUUGAGAGAGAUUGUAACCCAAAAUCAUCAAAUACAAAUAUUAUUUUGUACACGUGUUCUUGUCUCUUUCGUUUCAGGAAUAUUUCGUGUUUACAAAUUUGGCAUGCCCAGUGGGAUUAUGUUUACCUCUCAUCUUUUUCUCCGUUCAAGAAAUUUAAGCACACUUCCAAAAUUAAUGGCAUCAAGGAAGGCUCAAACUGUUCCUGCAACCGGCGCAAAGAACAA